UCUGGAUUUUGCGAAAGCCUUGCUUCCAGCCUUAGCACUUCAUGGUUAAAAAUACCACCCAUGAUUUAUUUAUCCUGUUUAGGAUGCGAUGUGUACCUUUCUGUUUGCCGGCAGGUGGCAGUGGUGUAGGAGUGUUAAGGAUGACCAGCAAAAACCCAAGGGCUUUGCUGCGGCUGUUUCCAGGCUGCUGUGUGCUCAGUCUCUUCCAGCUGCGAGGGGAUUAUGAGCAUAUUUCUCCUUGGUCUGCACAAGUUGAUUCAUCUCAUCAGCACUUUCUGAUCAAUUGAUACAUUUUUGAAAGCGUGUUUUUGGCAAUUGCUUUCUAGUGUGUGAAAUGAUAUCAUCUUGGGUAUUGAUGGAAAUGGAUGCUAAUGAAAUAAACAGAAGCACUUUUUACAUGGCCUUUCCCUAGAGACACAGGAGCAUUGGGCAUCUUCAAGCAUUUUUUCCUCUUACAAAUGUCCAGGUGAACAUUUUCUGAUCUGUAUACUUGUCUUUAAAAAAAAAAAAAUCUGUUUGCAUCACAAUGCAGGAUUUGAAAUCGACUUGUUUUGGUAACUUUUAAUUUCUAAGCAAGUGUCGCUCUGCAUUUAUCAGCAGUGGCUUUAUUGGAGGGAGAUCUAACGAGCUGUUAACCCCUUGCUUGCAAGAGUGGAUAUGGGUCUUUCUUCCAUCUGCAGUCCUGACUCCAGAGCCUUCUCCUGCUCAGGUCAGGGCUGGAGGGGUUUGCACAGUGUGCUCUGCUGAUGAGCCAAUGCACAGAUGCAGAGAUGACAUCAAGGUGGGAAGACCUUGGAGGAGAGAAUUAGAAUUAGAAAUGAGCUAAGCAAAAAAGAUCCUGAUUGUGGAAACCCCAGAUGUAUGAAUGAGGACAGUCACCUUGAGAAGUAUCCCUGAAGUCUGGCAAGGAGAAGCUGCACAAUCUGUGCUGUACCACAGCGGCUGAAGGUUUUGGCUGCCAUCCUCUGCAGGGAAACGAAGGCACAGAGAUGCUGAAGGACACAUCCCAGUUUUAUAAUUUCCUACGUGCUGGAAGUAGGACAGAUGAAUGCUAUGAAAUGCUUAGCAUCACUUUCCCUGGAAGAGAAAGUGAAAUUCAGGAAGGUGGAUCAGGAAAACAGCAUUCUCCUGCCACAGGGAAACAUGGAAAAGUGCAGAAAGGGACAAGCAGGAGAUUUCCUUGGCCUUUUGGAACAUUCCCAGCUACUGAGGGCACUGUCAUACUAUGUGGCAUAUCUGGCACAAACAAAUAUUCUCAGUUUAUUCAGCAAAGAAGACAAUCACCUAUGGCAUCCUUCUGCUGCUCUGGAUGUACAGCUACCCAUGCUUCAGAAGAGAAAACUCCAGUAUUGCUACUCUCAUACAGGUUCAACAGAGGAAGAACAAACCCAUUGCAACAGCAAAAAGAAUCUCUUCAGCAGCUGAGAUCUCUUCACUUGUGGGUAGAAAGCACAGAGAAAUAAAUAUCGCAAGAAUGGCGCUAAGGAUAAGAUAGACCUAUUUAUAUUUAAUAGGACUUUGCAGACUUCUGUGGCCUGAUUGCAGUGACAUGGUGUGCAAAUGAUAUAAUUUCUUUGGAUUAAAAGGAGUUUCUCUUUUAUUUGGAGUUAGCCAGAAAAAGCUCUGAAAUCACCAGAUUGUACUGCUAUUUAUCGGGAAAAUUCUUAUUGGAAACAUCUGAGUUUAUCCCUUCAGGCAUAGUUAGGCCAUAUGUAGUCAUAGCAUUUCAAAUUUUGCUUGGAGCAUAAAUAUGAGGCUAGACAAUUGAAAAAGAGUCUUUAUACAUCCUUACAAUUUAUGUUUUAGCAUAUAAUGAGCAAGUGUUCCCAUGUAUGAAGAUUAGGUACUUAUUUCCUCUGAAAGCCAAUGGUCAUGGAUUUUCUCAUCAUAAACGGUGUACUUUCAUUUCCUCUCUUGCUCUUUGUAUGCACCUCUCCAUUGUUAAACAAUUAAGUAGCAGAAGCUGUUAAUAUUAUGUUAAAAAAUUCAUCCUAUUUCACGGGUUUUUUCCAGUCUUGUUACACUAUUUUCAUGUGAAAACAUGGGUGAAAACACUUAGCAAAACAAAAGAUGCAAAAUAUCAGAAGUAGGACAUUUGUAGAUAAGCUUCAAAACCUAUUGCCAUAGGAAUUAAAGAAUGAAAACCAUCAACACGUUGUAUCUUCUAAGAGUUUUUUCUUGUAUAUAUAUGAACAUUUGUUCUGCUUUAAAAGAUGUAUGUGUAUGAAGCGUUUCUCAAUAAAAAGCAUCAAAAUCAUGCA
ensembl:lncRNA